CACAAGCGGUGGAGUAUGUGGUUUAAUCGAUGCAACGCGAAGAACCUUACCUGGUCUUGACAUCCCGGAGACCCUUAGGAAACUAGGGGGUGCUUCCAUCUGGAAGAAUCUGGAGACAGGUGCUGCAUGGCUGUCGUCAGCUCGUGUCGUGAGAUGUUGGGUUAAGUCCCGCAACGAGCGCAACCCUUGCCUUUAGUUGCCAGCAGUUCGGCUGGGCACUCUAAAGGGACUGCCGGUGUUAAACCGGAGGAAGGUGGGGAUGACGUCAAGUCCUCAUGGCCUUUAUGACCAGGGCUACACACGUACUACAAUGGCCGAUACAAAGGGCAGCGACACUGCGAGGUGAAGCCAAUCCCGUAAAAUCGGUCUCAGUCCGGAUUGGAGUCUGCAACUCGACUCCAUGAAGUUGGAAUCGCUAGUAAUCGUGGAUCAGCAUGCCACGGUGAAUACGUUCCCGGGCCUC
rnacentral:rRNA from 1 species